UACGGAGGGUGCGAGCGUUAUCCGGAAUUACUGGGUUUAAAGGGUGCGUAGGCGGCUUUGUAAGUCAGGAGUGAAAGUUUGCGGCUCAACCGUAAAAUUGCUUCUGAUACUGCAUCGCUAGAAUCAGGAUGAGGUCAGCGGAAUGUGGCAUGUAGCGGUGAAAUGCAUAGAUAUGCCAUAGAACACCAAUUGCGAAGGCAGCUGGCUAGACCUGUAUUGACGCUGAGGCACGAAAGCGUGGGGAGCGAACAGGAUUAGAUACCCUGGUAGUCCACGCCCUAAACGAUGCUUACUCGACGUAUGGCCCUAGUGGUUGUGCGUCCAAGGGAAACCGUUAAGUAAGCCACCUGGGGAGUACGACCGCAAGGUUGAA
rnacentral:rRNA from 1 species